GCGUCGUGGUGGUGUGUGCUGGCCGAGGCUUCGCAUGGGCUUGUUCCUACUGGAUGCUCGAGCGAAGGAAUCGUGUCCGAUUCUGGUUGCGCUCCACAGAUUUUCCGGCGUCGUCAUGCUGGUUAGCAGCCACGUGGUGACCAGGUACUCCCUGGCCAAGGGGUCGUUGUUGGCGAGAGCGCUGCUGCCAGUGCAUACGCUAGAGGGGACACAUAGACCACUCCAGCUUGUCGCCGACGUGCCGUUACUCCACACGACGGUGAAGCCAAUUGCUCCGACACCGUCCGCUACGGCCGCCGUGGCGCCGUAUAUCGCCGAGUGGCUGGUUCCUACGUGUGUAAAUAUAAGGAACCACUGAAUAUAAGGAGGAUAGCUGCGGGCGCAUAGCAGCUACGGGGAGACGUCAACUACGGGGACACGGCAUCUACGGAGGCAUGGCAACUACGGGGACACGGCAUCUACGGAGGCAUGGCAACUACGGACAC